GGGCUAAGUUAGACUACGUUUCU
rnacentral:siRNA from 1 species